UUGAGAGUCCAGGCGUCGCAGACAUUAUUUAAUCGCAUUGGAAAGGGAAUCUUGGAACAGAAAGUGGUGACAAAGGGAAGCUAGGGGAGACAAAACUACUCAAAACAUCUGAGUACUUACUAUGUGCAAAGCUUUACAUUUCCCAAGGCAUGUAUCAUUAUCAGGGACAUAAAAUAAAAGACAUUCUCCAACUUCAUUGAAAGGGACCUUAGGCACCUAACUGUGAAUGGACAUCUACCCCUGUCGCUGACACCUCCACCUACAACUCCUUCAAAGACUCCUCAAGGUGAUCCAUUAUUUCAACAAGACAGCAUUGAUACUGAGAAGUCCUAGGAAUGAGCCUUCCCAGUGCUGUGAAACCACACUACCUGACUGAAGGGCUGGUCAUCAGUGCAUUCUUCUGAUUGAUUUAUGACCAAAAGGGAGACUUGUGGAAGCAAAGUCGCUGCUGUAAUAAAUCAUAAAUACCUAACUGGGCAGGUCAUGGUGGGUAGUCACCCCCCAAGCCUAUAAAAAGGUUUACCUUUGUCUUAAACAAGCCCUGACCAUUUUCCUUGUGCAUCUAAACCAAUACACCUUUGAAAUGCCAGAGUAAUCCUCUUUUCAGACUCUUUAGAGGGAGGUGUAACCACCCGCAAGGGAGCACAUAAUUUUGUCAACUAUCCUUGCUUUCUGCCCCCUUCAUGUCGUCUUCCUUACAUUCCCCUGAAUUUUAAAUGUGUAAAAACGCCUGCAAAACUGUCAUUCUCCAGAGCAUUUGAGAUCUUGCACCUCAGCAUGUUGUCAGUUUGGCUCAAAUAAACUCUUAUAAAAAUUCUCUACAGGUUUGGAUCUUUCUUACAUUUACAACGGUGACGAUGGUGAAGAUGACAGUGAUGCUAUUUUGCUGUGGAGUUCUUUGCUCAAAGAAAAUCUUGGGGAAUCCCAAUGCGUUAAACAGAAAAAUGCAGUUUGUCAGCUAGAUUUGGAGCAGAGGGUCUGGGGCCCUGCUGUCAUAGCUCACAUCUUGGGCAGAUCUGCCCAAGGGGCUCUGAGGGGAGCUCUGCCAGGAAAUGACUUCUGAAUAGAGGAGAGGGGCAUGGAAAAGUGGCUCAAGUCAAAUUAUGUCAAGGUGGGGGGUUGGCCCAUAGUUGGUAGAUGUACAUAGUUGGUGACAAAGCAGGGGUCAGGUAAAAUUCCUCCGCCAGGGCUAUGCCAACGGCCUGGAGGAGGGUCAUGCUAGGUGACAACAGUGCUAUGAAAAACAGAGAAUGAACCCCAAAGUCACUACUACAGAAGGAAGAAUGGGCACAGAAAUAAGAUCAAGCAGCCAAAGGUAGCCAAUGAGAGGGAAGAGAAAUGUUGUAAUGAAUCCAGUUUUUUAGAUGUUAAAUAUUACCAUUGCUUUUUUAGAUUAUGUUGAAACAUACAUAACAUAACAUAAAUUUUAUCUACAACUGCUUUUUAAAUUUUACUAUUUUAUUAAAUUAAAAGAUAUUUGCACAAAAUAAAGAAUUCAAACAGUACAAAUAAUCGACGAUGUAAAGUAAGUUUCCUUCCCACCUCAGCUGUCCAGUCCCUUUAGUUCCACUGCCCAGAUCCUUGUUUACAGGAUAGUAACAGAACUGUGUCAGGUGCCAACAAGCAGUUGUUUUAUACAUAUUAGUCUUUUUCACAUAAAUAGUCUGUCCUUUGUUUUAUUAUUUGUUUGUUUGUUUCCCACUGCACAAACCGACCAGGCUUGUUCUCUCGGAGGAGGUUGAUAAAAAGGAGAAAAUUCAGAACUGUGAAAUUCAGAGUAGCUGCCAUGUGACGGGAAGGAAAGCAGGCAGGGAGGAAAGCAAGCUGUGGAGUGAGACCUUGAGCCGGAUGCUGGCUCUGCCACCGUGGGCACACUCUUCGACCUAAACCACAAGUUUGUAUUUUUUUAAAUUUCCCACAGUGCCAUGGUUCUCAGUGGGGGAGGGGUCAAACCACCACCCAAACAAGGGUGUUCGGGAACAGGGGUACAGAUUUUUUUGGUUGUGAAAAUUACUGGGGCCGCUAGCGGCACUUUGAGGAUCGGGCUCAUAGAUGUUCAAGACGUUAGAAUGUUAGCAGCGGACGGUCACAGCCAAGAAUGACUCUGCUCCAAUGCCAAUAGCAUUUGCACUGGGAAACAUCAACUUAGUGGCACACAGUAGCACCAAGGCCUUCCAUUUCCCAUGCGCACAACCCUCACCUCUGAGGGUAGCAAGGCAGCUGUAAGUGCUGUGGAUGCUACUGCGGUGGCCGAGGGAAUAAUAGAGACAGCAUUUUCUCUUGCUCUCUCUUGGGGGAAAAUAUUGUUUUUUCUCCGAAGCUUCCUCUUAGACUUCCUGCUCACCUACUGACUGGGUCACUUGGUCGUUCCUGAACCACUCAUGGGGUGUUCCUCUUAGAUCACAUACUAGUCUGGAGAAGAGGGGAGUGGGCUUCCCCUGAGUGGGAAGGUGGGAUAUCUGUCAGAAAGGAAGAAGGGAGAAUGCGGGCCACUAUGUCACAGGCUGCCAUAAGGAUCCUACAAGGAGAUAAAGUUGCUGUCAGAUAGUGGGAAUGCAAGACAUGUGGGUUCCCUUCCUUCUGCCCUUCAAAAAUGGCCAUUUCCCUGACCCUUCAGUUCUGUCCUGUGGACAAGAAGGUCGGGAAGGCAAAUGAUGGGCCUCCCUCGCAGAAGCUGCUAGAGGCUCUCAAGGGACAUGCAGAAGCAGUAAGUCGUUAUCCGUCCUGCACACCUAACAUUUCUUCCUGUUCUCGGAUAAGAAUUGUGUCAAAUAUAUCAAGAACUUACUUCUUUACACAUCCGUUUAUGUUUGUUAUCAUAAUGAAUAUUUACAGUCAUGCAAAACCAAGACAGAAAAAAUCACUAAAUAUAAGUGAAAUGACUUAAAAGUGGCACAAAAUCUAUGUGAAAAUAAAAAGAGAAUGUACUAAAGCUUGAAAUGUUAAUAGAUAGGAAGUCAAAUAGAUUCUAGUGCUCCAUUUUUUUUUCUAGUGUUCUCUUUAAAAUGGUAGGUUUCAAUGGCUGUGUUCAUUUCAGGAUUUUGGUUGGGUCCUAGUCCAAUCACGUCUAGGAACUUUGCAAGUUACACUGAGAAAAUAUGCAAAUCAUGUUAAAAUCCGGAUCAUCAGAAACAUAAGCAAAAGACAUUAAAAUAGAAAAACCAAAGAAA